AACUUUGAGCGGUGGAUCACUCGGCUCGUGUGUCGAUGAAGUAUGCAGUGAAUUAAUGUGAACUGCAUACAUCUUUAAUCUAUUGAUGGAAGGUAUAAAUAAUUUCAUGAGUUUGA
rnacentral:rRNA from 1 species